rfam:Cavia porcellus supercont2_0 genomic scaffold, whole genome shotgun sequence.
AGAUGUGAGGGCAUCAGGCUGUGACAUCUGUCACCCCAUUGAUGGGGUGAUUGGCUGAUGUGGCUGCUAGUGAAGUGUGACUUUCCUGCCUUACCACUUAAUAUGUCCCUCCUGAAGCUGCACGCUCUAAGGAAGAGGAGGACCACCCUGAAUAGAGGGGGGCUGUUACUGCUAUCAGGGGUGUAGGAGUGGCUGCGCUACCCUGUUAGAAGCUCCCAACAAGCUCUUGAGGUCCAUAUACAUGCAUAUAUUUAGAAACAGAGAAGCAAAAUAAAAACAGAAUUAAAGAUUGAAAAAUUUGAUGCAGCAAGUUUUAAAU